UACGAAGGGGGCUAGCGUUGCUCGGAAUCACUGGGCGUAAAGGGUGCGUAGGCGGGUUUUUAAGUCAGGGGUGAAAUCCUGGAGCUCAACUCCAGAACUGCCUUUGAUACUGAAGAUCUUGAGUCCGGGAGAGGUGAGUGGAACUGCGAGUGUAGAGGUGAAAUUCGUAGAUAUUCGCAAGAACACCGGUGGCGAAGGCGGCUUCCUGGACCGACACUGACGCUGAGGCGCGAAAGCUAGGGGAGCAAACGGG
rnacentral:rRNA from 1 species